rnacentral:rRNA from 1 species
UAUCUCUGUAGAGUCUGCAUAUCAAUAAGCGGAGGAAAAGAAACUAACAAGGAUUCCCUUAGUAACGGCGAGUGAAGCGGGAAGAGCUCAAAUUUGAAAUCUUCAAGGUUCUACCUUGACGAAUUGCUAGUUUAAAGAAGUGUUUUCUGUUAGAUGAGUAGCAAAAGUUCCUUGGAAUGGGACAUCAUAGAGGGUGAGAAUCCCGUAUUUGGUUAUUCAUUCUAGCUUUGUGAUACACUUUCAAAGAGUCGGAUUGUUUGGGAAUGCAGUCCAAAAUGGGUGGUAAAUUUCAUCUAAAGCUAAAUAUUGGCGAGAGACCGAUAGCGAACAAGUACCGUGAGGGAAAGAUGAAAAGAACUUUGAAAAGAGAGUUAAACAGUACGUGAAAUUGUCAAAAGGGAAGCGUUUGACACCAGUGUUGUUUUUCCGAAAAUCAAUUACGAAUGGCUUGAUUUUGUGUUGUAUUGACCUUAUCAGCUUUCUUCACUUUUUUCGAGUCUUUCUUAAUGCAGCUUUUCGGUUAACAAGUCAACAUCAAUUUCUUUUGUUGUAAAAGAGUAUUCGGAAGGUGGCUUUCUUUUCGGAGAAAGUGUUUAUAGCCCUAUACUUCUACAAUCGGAGAGAUUGAGGUCUGCAGCGUAGAUCCUUCGGGGUUAGAUACACUUGUGCUAAGUUGUAGCUUUUCAUAGACAACUUGUUGGACUAUGUUUAGUCAUGCGGCUUACUCGCUUGUGCUAUUUUACCUACGCUUAGGAUGUUGACUGAUAUGUAGUCGUA